GACGAACGCUGGCGGCGCGCUUAACACAUGCAAGUCGAGCGAUGAAACUUUAACAGAACCCUUCGGGGCGAAGAUAAAGUGGAUUAGCGGCGGACGGGUGAGUAACACGUGAGUAACCUGCCUUAGACAUUGGGAUAGCCUCGGGAAACUGGGAUUAAUACCAAAUAAAAUCAUAAUGACACAUGUCAUAACGAUCAAAACUCCGGUGGUCUAAGAUGGACUCGCGUCCCAUUAGCUAGUUGGUAGAGUAAAAGCCUACCGAGGCGACGAUGGGUAGCCGGCCUGAGAGGGUGAACGGCCACAUUGGAACUGAGAAACGGUCCAAACUCCUACGGGAGGCAGCAGUGGGGAAUAUUGCACAAUGGAGGGAACUCUGAUGCAGCGACGCCCGCGUGAACGAAAGAAAGGGCUUUUCGAGUCGUAAAA
rnacentral:rRNA from 1 species